rnacentral:rRNA from 1 species
GGACUACACGGGUAUCUAAUCCCGUUCGCUCCCCUAGCUUUCGCGCAUCAGCGUCAGUGUCAGCCCAGCAACCCGCCUUCGCCGCAGGUGUUCCUCUCGAUAUCUACGCAUUUCACCGCUACACCGAGAAUUCCAGUUGCCCCUUCUGCACUCUAGCCCCGCAGUAUCGGUUGACCUUUCCGGGUUAAGCCCGGAGAUUUCACAACCGACUUGCGGUGGCCGCCUACGCGCCCUUUACGCCCAGUAAAUCCGAACAACGCUUGCUCCCCCCGUAUUACCGCGGCGGCUGGCAC